rnacentral:rRNA from 1 species
GAAGCUUGCUUUUUUGCUGACGACCGGCGCACGGGUGCGUAACGCGUAUACAAUCUACCUUUAGCUGAGGGAUAGCCCAGAGAAAUUUGGAUUAAUACCUCAUGGUAUCUAUUCAAGGCAUCUUAAAUAGAUUAAAGGUUACGGCUAAAGAUGAGUAUGCGUCCUAUUAGCUAGAUGGUGUGGUAACGGCACACCAUGGCAACGAUAGGUAGGGGCCCUGAGAGGGGGAUCCCCCACACUGGUACUGAGACACGGACCAGACUCCUACGGGAGGCAGCAGUGAGGAAUAUUGGGCAAUGGAGGCAACUCUGACCCAGCCAUGCCGCGUGCAGGAAGACUGCCCUAUGGGUUGUAAACUGCUUUUAUACAGGAAGAAACACUCCCUCGUGAGGGAGCUUGACGGUACUGUAAGAAUAAGGAUCGGCUAACUCCGUGCCAGCAGCCGCGGUAAUACGGAGGAUCCAAGCGUUAUCCGGAAUCAUUGGGUUUAAAGGGUCCGUAGGUGGAUUAAUAAGUCAGAGGUGAAAUCCUGCAGCUCAACUGUAGAACUGCCUUUGAUACUGUUAAUCUUGAGUCAUUAUGAAGUGGUUAGAAUGUGUAGUGUAGCGGUGAAAUGCAUAGAUAUUACACAGAAUACCGAUUGCGAAGGCAGAUCACUAAUAAUGUACUGACACUG